UUAACGAUUUAUAAGUAUACUCAGACGACACAAUUAUGAAAGAAUUUAAUAAGGCUACUGGCGAGCACUGGCCAGGGGCAUGAAAGCCCCCAGCGGUCCCGAAAGGCGGGCCCGCCAAAGCAACAUGGUAUGUAAACAAAGGGUUGGAGAUCGGGCCUAUAAGACCCUAACUCGGUAAUGAUCCUUCCGCAGGUUCACCUACGGAAA
rnacentral:misc_RNA from 1 species